ACGGGAGGCAGCAGUGAGGAAUAUUGGUCAAUGGGCGGAAGCCUGAACCAGCCAUCUCGCGUGCAGGACUACGGCCCUACGGGUCUUAAACUGCUUUUAUGGGGGGAUAAAGUCGGGUAUGCGUGCCCGUUUGCAGGUACCCCAUGAAUAAGGAUCGGCUAACUCCGUGCCAGCAGCCGCGGUAAUACGGAGGAUCCGAGCGUUAUCCGGAUUUAUUGGGUUUAAAGGGUGCGCAGGCGGCCCGUUAAGUCAGCGGUGAAAUGUCGGGGCUCAACCCGGGCACUGCCGUUGAAACUGGGGGGCUUGAGUACGGAUGAGGUCGGCGGAAUGUGACGUGUAGCGGUGAAAUGCAUAGAUAUGCCACAGAACUCCGGUAGCGAAGGCAGCUCGCCAGGCCUGCAUUGACGCUCAGGCACGAAAGCGUGGGGAUCGAACAGGAUUAGAUACCCUGGUA
rnacentral:rRNA from 1 species